GAUGAACGCUGGCGGCGUGCCUAAUACAUGCAAGUCGAGCGAACAGAUGAGGAGCUUGCUCCUCUGACGUUAGCGGCGGACGGGUGAGUAACACGUGGAUAACCUACCUAUAAGACUGAGAUAACUUCGGGAAACCGGAGCUAAUACCGGAUAAUAUAUUGAACCGCAUGGUUCAAUAGUGAAAGACGGUUUUGCUGUCACUUAUAGAUGGAUCCGCGCCGCAUUAGCUAGUUGGUAAGGUAACGGCUUACCAAGGCAACGAUGCGUAGCCGACCUGAGAGGGUGAUCGGCCACACUGGAACUGAGACACGGUCCAGACUCCUACGGGAGACAGCAGUAGGGAAUCUUCCGCAGUGGGCGAAAGCUUGACGGAGCAACGCCGCGUGAGUGAUGAAGGUCUUCGGAUCGUAAAACUCUGUUAUUAGGGAAGAACAAAUGUGUAAGUAACUAUGCACGUCUUGACGGUACCUAAUCAGAAAGCCACGGCUAACUACGU
rnacentral:rRNA from 1 species